rnacentral:rRNA from 1 species
AUUUAAAGUGGUACGCGAGCUGGGUUUAGAACGUCGUGAGACAGUUCGGUCCCUAUCUGCCGUGGGCGCUGGAGAACUGAGGGGGGCUGCUCCUAGUACGAGAGGACCGGAGUGGACGCAUCACUGGUGUUCGGGUUGUCAUGCCAAUGGCACUGCCCGGUAGCUAAAUGCGGAAGAGAUAAGUGCUGAAAGCAUCUAAGCACGAAACUUGCCCCGAGAUGAGUUCUCCCUGACCCUUUAAGGGUCCUGAAGGAACGUUGAAGACGACGACGUUGAUAGGCCGGGUGUGUAAGCGCAGCGAUGCGUUGAGCUAACCGGUACUAAUGAACCGUGAGGCUUAACCUUACAACGCCGAAGGUGUUU